rnacentral:rRNA from 1 species
AUGUUUUCCGACUCUGUUGCCUCGGGGGCGACCCGGCCUUCGGGUGUCGGGGCCCCCGGUGGUCCACAUCAACUCUGCAUCUGUGCGUCUGAGUAGAUAUUAAAUCAAUCAAAACUUUCAACAACGGAUCUCUUAGGUUCUGGCAUCGAUGAAGAACGCAGCGAAAUAGCGAUAAGUAAUAGUGAAUUGCAGAAUUCAGUGAAUCAUCGAAUCUUUGAACGCACAUUGCGCCCCUCGGUAUUCCGGGGGGCAUGCCUGUUCGAGCGUCAUUACACCACUCAAGCCUCGCUUGGUCUUGGGCGUCUCGCGGUCCGCCGCGCGCCCUAAUGUCUCCGGCUGAGCCAUCUUGUCUCGAAGCGUUGUGAUCUAUCAAAUCGCUUGCGGGAUGGGUGGCCUCGGGCCGUUAAACCCCCCAAUUUUUACAGGUUGACCUCGGAUCAGGUAGG